GAGCGUAAAGGAUAAAGCGAUAACAGCGCAUCACAUGAAAGUCAUCGUAGUAGAACAAAACUCAGUGCGAGCGCAAAUGACAAGGUUACUUACUCUGAAGAUGAGAGCGAAUUGAGCUUCUUCGCGACAGUGUAACAGAGAAUACAGAGGGUUGUUCACCCCGUGAUGAAUAUUGUAAUUUCUCGGGACAAGCAAGAGCGAAGAGAGUGAGAUAGAGAAAGAGCUCUUGUGCGCCGCUCCUCUCUCUGCAUGCAAACUGUAUGUCUCAGCGCACGCGGCCAGGAGGAGGCUGAGAGCGCGCGCUCGCACCAACAAGAUUGACUUUAAGACGCGGCUGAAGGAAGCAGGAAGACGGCGCGUCAUAAUCAUUGUGAUGUAACGCUCCCACCUACCAAUAAGAGCAGUCCGCUGGAUUUAGAGGAAUACAAAACAAGUGAAGUUGAAGACUCCGCUCGAGCAAAAGCGAAUGAUACGGCGACCUUUGUGGGAUAUCUGUCAGGGUUUGAGGCGAGUUGGCAGUGCGGAGAGGACCAGGCCUGGCCCCGUGCCUCAGUGCCUGCGGGACCCUACCCAGACUGCCACGGCCUUCAGAAUGAAU
ensembl:lncRNA